GACGAACGCUGGCGGCGUGCUUAACACAUGCAAGUCGAACGGAAAGGCCCUGCUUUUGUGUGGUUCUCGAGUGGCGAACGUGUGAGUAACACGUGAGUCACCUUCCCUUUACUUUGUGAUAACUUCAGGCAACUGGUGCUAAUACCUGCUACGUGCUCCUGCUGCAUGGUGGGGGUUGGAACGUUUCGGCGGUUGUGGGUGUACUGGCGGCUUAUUAGCUUGUUGGUGGGGUAGUGGCUUACCAAGGCUUUGACGGGUAGACGGCCUGAGAGGGUGACCGGCGACACUGGGACUGAGAGACGGCACAGACUCCGAAGGGAGGCAGAAGUGGGGAAGAUUGAACAAUGGGCGGAGGCCGGAUGCAGAAAGGCCGCGUACGGGAUGACGGCCUUAGGGUUGAAAAACGGUAGCGCGUGUAAAGAAGCGUGAGUGAAGGUAAUGGGUAGAGAAGGAACGGCUAAAUACGUG
rnacentral:rRNA from 1 species